CCCGCUGCCUCCUACCCCAUCUGUCUCCCCCCAUCCCUUUGAGAGGCACGAUAACAACACCUGGGCUGAGGCAGGUGGGGGCAGGUGGAGCCAGGGAGUGUGAGGCACAGUGUGAGUGUGAGAUGAGUGUGGGUGUGAGUGUGAGUGUGGGUGUGAGUUCCAGUGUGAGUGUGAGGUGUGUCAGGUGUGAGUGAGAAGUGUGAGUGUGGGUGAGGUUGGCUGUGAGGUGUGAGUUCGGGUGUGAGUGCGAGGUGUGUCAGGUGUGACUGU